rnacentral:rRNA from 1 species
GACGGAGGGUGCAAGCGUUGUUCGGAAUUACUGGGCGUAAAGCGCGGGCAGGUGGUCUUUUAAGUCCUUUGUGAAAUCCCGGGGCUCAACUCCGGAUGUGCAUAGGAUACUGGAAGACUGGAGACUGGUAGAGGCGAGCGGAAUUCCUGGUGUAGCGGUGGAAUGCGUAGAUAUCGAGAGGAACACCAGUGGCGAAGGCGAGUCCCUGGACAACACCUGACACUGAGGCACGAAAGCUAGGGGAGCAAACAGG